rnacentral:rRNA from 1 species
UACGAAGGGGGCUAGCGUUGUUCGGAAUUACUGGGCGUAAAGCGUGCGCAGGCGGCUUCUCAAGUCAGGGGUGAAAGCCCCGGGCUCAACCUGGGAACUGCAUUUGAGACUGCUCUGCUCGGGUGCGGAAGAGGGAAGCGGAAUUUCCGGUGUAGCGGUGAAAUGCGUAGAUAUCGGAAGGAACACCAGUGGCGAAAGCGGCUUCCUGGUCCGACACCGACGUUCAGGCACGAAAGCGUGGGGAGCAAACAGG